CCUACGGGCGGCAGCAGUGAGGAAUAUUGGUCAAUGGCCGGAAGGCUGAACCAGCCAUGCCGCGUGAAGGUCAGUGCCCUAUGGGCGUUAAACUUCUUUUGUGCGGGAGCAAUAAUGGUCACGUGUGGCCAGACGAGAGUCACGUACGAAUAAGCAUCGGAUUACUACGUGCCAGCCGCCGCGGUAAUACGGGGGAUGCAAGCGUUAUCCGGUUUUAUUGGGUUUAAAGGGUGCGUAGGCUGUGAGGUAAGUCAGCGGUGAAAUGUCCCCGCUCAACGGGGUGAAGUGCCAUUGAUACUGCCUUGCUGGAAUGCGGAUGCCGUGGGAGGAAUGUGUGGUGUAGCGGUGAAAUGCAUAGAUAUCACACAGAACACCGAUUGCGAAGGCAUCUCACGAAUCCGCGAUUGACGCUGAUGCACGAAAGCGUGGGUAUCAAACAGGAUUAGAUACCCCAGUAGUC
rnacentral:rRNA from 1 species